GAGCGGUGUAGGCAGUUGAAAAUUGCCGUUGAAUAUGCGGGAGGGAAACACCGGAUGGGCGAAGGGCAGCCCUCCUGGGGAUAACACUUGACGCUCAUGCACGAAAGCGUUGGGGAGCAAACAGGAUUAGGAUACCCUGGUAGUCCACGCCCUAAACGAUGUCAACUAGCUGUUGGGGCCUUCGGGCCUUGGUAGCGCAGCUAACGCGUGAAGUUGACCGCCUGGGGAGUACGGUCGCAAGAUUAAAACUCAAAGGAAUUGACGGGGACCCGCACAAGCGGUGGAUGAUGUGGAUUAAUUCGAUGCAACGCGAAAAACCUUACCUACCCUUGACAUGUCUGGAAUGCCGAAGAGAUUUGGCAGUGCUCGCAAGAGAACCGGAACACAGGUGCUGCAUGGCUGUCGUCAGCUCGUGUCGUGAGAUGUUGGGUUAAGUCCCGCAACGAGCGCAACCCUUGUCAUUAGUUGCUACGAAAGGGCACUCUAAUGAGACUGCCGGUGACAAACCGGAGGAAGGUGGGGAUGACGUCAAGUCCUCAUGGCCCUUAUGGGUAGGGCUUCACACGUCAUACAAUGGUCGGGACAGAGGGUCGCCAACCCGCGAGGGGGAGCCAAUCCCAGAAACCCGAUCGUAGUCCGGAUCGCAGUCUGCAACUCGACUGCGUGAAGUCGGAAUCGCUAGUAAUCGCGGAUCAGCAUGUCGCGGUGAAUACGUUACCCGGGCUUGUACACACCGCCC
rnacentral:rRNA from 1 species